UACGUAGGCAGCGAGCGUUGUUCGGAAUUAUUGGGCGUAAAGAGUGUGUAGGCGGUGCUCCAAGUCUGUCGUGAAAUCUCCCGGCUUAACCGGGAGGGUGCGGCGGAAACUGGAGUGCUAGAGGGUGGGAGAGGAAAGCGGAAUUCCCGGUGUAGCGGUGAAAUGCGUGGAUAUCAGGAGGAACACCGGUGGCGAAGGCGGCUCUCUGGACGGUGACUGACGCUGAGACGCGAAAGCGUGGGGAGCAAACAGG
rnacentral:rRNA from 1 species